UAGGGUAUAGUGAAGUAGGUAUCACAGAGAAAUUUGAGUUCUUAUAGAUAGGUUCGAUUCCUAUUACUCUAG
rnacentral:tRNA from 2 species